rnacentral:rRNA from 1 species
UACGUAGGGCGCAAGCGUUAUCCGGAAUUAUUGGGCGUAAAGAGCUCGUAGGCGGUUUGUCGCGUCUGGUGUGAAAAUCCAGGGCUUAACCCUGGACCUGCAUCGGGUACGGGCAGACUAGAGUGCGGUAGGGGAGAUCGGAAUUCCUGGUGUAGCGGUGAAAUGCGCAGAUAUCAGGAGGAACACCGGUGGCGAAGGCGGAUCUCUGGGCCGUAACUGACGCUGAGGAGCGAAAGCAUGGGGAGCGAACAGG